rnacentral:rRNA from 1 species
CGGAGAAUGUUAUCACGGGAGACACACGGCGGGUGCUAACGUCCGUCGUGAAGAGGGAAACAACCCAGACCGCCAGCUAAGGUCCCAAAGUCAUGGUUAAGUGGGAAACGAUGUGGGAAGGCCCAGACAGCCAGGAUGUUGGCUUAGAAGCAGCCAUCAUUUAAAGAAAGCGUAAUAGCUCACUGGUCGAGUCGGCCUGCGCGGAAGAUGUAACGGGGCUAAACCAUGCACCGAAGCUGCGGCAGCGACGCUGAUGCGUUGUUGGGUAGGGGAGCGUUCUGUAAGCCUGUGAAGGUGUGUCGUGAGGCAUGCUGGAGGUAUCAGAAGUGCGAAUGCUGACAUAAGUAACGAUAAAGCGGGUGAAAAGCCCGCUCGCCGGAAGACCAAGGGUUCCUGUCCAACGUUAAUCGGGGCAGGGUGAGUCGACCCCUAAGGCGAGGCCGAAAGGCGUAGUCGAUGGGAAACGGGUUAAUAUUCCCGUACUUGGUGUUACUGCGAAGGGGGGACGGAGAAGGCUAUGUUGGCCGGGCGACGGUUGUCCCGGUUUAAGCGUGUAGG